AACUUGAAAUGGUUGAGUAAAUACAAAUGUACUUUCCAAGCAGAUAGGUACUUGAAGUCACAACUCCCAAAACAUCUUAGGGAGAUAUUCAUGAGAGUGAGAUUUGAACAGCUUGAUACAAUGGUUAGAUACAGGAGAUUUCAUGCAAUACCGUACAAUGAGCGUCUCUGCAUUUGCAGAAUGGCA